GACACACCUUUUUCAAACAUAUUAUUGUUUAACAAGCUGUCACAUAUGUGGAGUCUUACUGAUUUGAGCUGAAGAAAUGCAUUCCAGAAAACUAGAAUGUUGCAGGGCAAAGAACUCUGAUUAUAUGGAUAUUAACAUUGAUCUUAUUUAUUAGGACUUUCAUAUUACCCAUUCCAUGCUUAAUACCAUGCAAGCAUAAUUAGGAUUAAUUCCUAAUGAUGUACAAAAUUAUCUGCCUUUAAUAGUGCAAGCUCUUGCACAUUAUUGUCAUCAUUAGGUUUUCAGUUUUGCAGUCCAUCAAUUUAUGUUUACCAUGAUAAGCCUAUAUUUGAAUUGUGGCAUACCUUGAAAUUAUUGUUGUUGCCUUAUUGCGCUUUGAUUACUUGGAAACAGGGGAAAACACAUACUGCAUUUUAGUUUACCCAUUUACUU